AUGCCUCCUAUGUUCGAAGGUUUACGAGGGACUAUAUAUUGAUAAGCCCUGGCCAAACCAUGGAUGUUUUGGUCUCUGCCAAUCGAAACGUUGGCCAAUAUUACAUGGCUAUUAGGCCUUUCUCUGAUUCCUCUGCUGCACCUGUUGACAACAUCACUACUGGCAUUUUUGAAUAUACAAACAGUGAGGGCGGAUUGAAUGCUUCCUUGAUAACGUUGCCCGUAAUGAACGAUACAGAUGCUAUGAUUAACUUCCUAAACCAAAUUCGGAACACGAAAGUCUCCCAGAAUCCGCGGAUAAAUGUGCCGGCAGAUAAGGAUAUUAAAAGACGAGUGUUCAUGACACUCGCGGUAAACAACUUGCCUUGCAACACCUGUGUUGUAGGCAGCAGACUUGUUGCAAGUUUGAACAAUGUAAGCUAUGUUUCCCCAAGUAUUGACAUUCUCCAAGCAUACUACAACAGGUAUAUUAUAUAUAUCCAUGGUUAUAGCAAUUCUUAGAUCAUGAUUUCACUACCGUAGCUGCCUAAUUGUUAAAAGUUUUGGUAAAAUUGCAGGAACAUGAGUGGUGUUUACACCGAAGAUUUUCCAUUGAAUCCCCCAGUAAUCUAUGAUUUCACUGGAAACUUGACUAAUCUCAAUACCCCUGUUGAGGAAGGGACGAGGGUAAUAGUGGUAAAUUAUGGGGAAGGAGUUGAGAUGGUGCUGCAAGCAACCCAGAUGGGGGCUGGUGGAAGUCACCCAAUCCAUUUGCACGGUUCUAGCUUCUAUUGGGUGGGAACAGGUUUCGGAAAUUUCAACAAUAAGACAGACCCAAGGACUUAUAAUCUGGUUGAUCCACCACUCAUUAACACUGUCCAUGUUCCUGGUAGAAGAUGGGUUGCCAUCAGAUUUUUUGCUACCAAUCCCGGUAAGUUUUUCAAUUAGAAAAUUGUUUAAAUAAAAAGAAGCUCAUCUUUCUUACGACCAAAGUUUUAACUAAUUACAAUAUUUUCAGGAGUAUGGUUUAUGCAUUGCCAUUUGGAGAGGCAUAGUAGCUGGGGAAUGGACACUGUUCUCAUCGUGAGGAAUGGUAAAACCAAGAAAACAAGCAUCCGCCCACCGCCAUCUACCAUGCCUCGUUGUCCUGGAACCUAGAACUACUACAAGCAUAGAAUUAACACAUACAUACAUACACACAAGUAGUUUCUAGAUUUACAUUUUUAAUAAGAAUAAAAUUCCUGUGCCCUCUUCUUGGUCCACCAAUCUUUUUUCACAUGUGUACAAGUAAAUGAAUAGAGUUGAUAAUGUUUUUCGUCUCCAGAAAACUUUAGCCUCUGGGCACAAUUUAUUUUCUGGGUUUUAUGUAUUCUUUUAACUCAUCAUCUAAAUUUCAAUUUUAAGAAAUCAUCUUUCUAUCCAUGGUCUUGGUAUUUUUUUGCUGGGUUUCUCUUUGCCAUGACAUGCAUUUAUGAAUCAAAAGGAGCAACAAUGGAAUCGAAAACUUCAAAACAAACAAUAUGGUUCAUCUUCAUCGCUUCAGAAAUAAACUAAAACAAAUAAAUUAAUCUGUAGAAUAGUCUAUUAAAACACAGCUUCAAUGACAGCAAAAACAACAAAAGAAGAAACCCAGGGAAAGCAGAUUGGAUAAUAAUUUAACCAAUCUAUGAACUUUUUAACUUAAAAGGAAUGGCCUAAUAAAGAAUUAAACUUUUUUGGUAAAGGGAAAGAAUUCAAACCCUCCCUUAAUGUCAAUAUUCAAAAAUUACUACUGAAAAUGAUUGGAUAGUCGCAACGCGCGGCACUAAAAGGGCAGAGGAAUUUUCACUUUUCUAAUAAUAAAAUAUGUGUAAUUAAAAAACUUUAUUCACAUAAAUUUUAAAAUUAUAUAUAAAUUCUGAUUUUGUAUAAUUUAAUAUAUAAAUAUUGAUUUCAUUCGAUUCUCAUAAAUUAUUAAUUAAAUUUAUUAAAUAUAAAAAUAAAUUAGUAUAUUUAUUUUUUAAAAUGUUAUAUAUAUAUAUAUAUGAAGAGGCAUAAUUUUAAAAUUUAUCCAGUUAAAUAAUAUAUGGUCAUGGUUGAUAGUGAUAUCUAGAUUUGUUUAUUAAAGGAUAGGAAAGAUAAGGACAAAUGGGCACCCUACGUGGCCUCCCAUCUCUUUUAAACUUUAUCACCAAUUAUUAUUUUAUAUUGCAUUUUUAUUUUUCUAAUAUAAAUUAAUACCUCGUUUAAUACAACAGUAAUCUAGUUUUUAUGUUUUACAUAUAACACAUAUAAUUCAAUUUAAUUAUUCGUCCCUACACAUUUUUUUUCAAAUUUGGUUUCAACUCUUUUAUAAAAAAUAAAUAUUUAAAUUAACUAAUUGCUUUAUAAAAAUAGAUUGAUUAAAUUAUGUUAAAAAUUAAACUAUAUAGAUUAAAUCUCAAGCUUUAACAUAGUCUAAAGGUCAAAAUUGAAAUUUAACCAUUGUCUUGUUAUGUAAAAAAAACAACACAAACCUAAAAAAAAAAAUGAUAAGUCAUAUGUUAAUCUUUAAGACUCUAAGAGUAUUCAAAUUAUAUAUAAUUAUGUAACAUUUUAACAAAAAAGUUAAAAAGUAUUAACUAUUUGGACUAGUUAAUAAUAUUAUAAAAAAUAUAAUGAUCAAAUUAAAGCAUAUUAAAGAGUUUAAAAUUGAAAAUUAACCAAUUUUAAAAUGCAAAAAGAAAAGGAGCUGGUGGAUGUGUGCCACAUAGUUGGAAAUUUUGAAAUUUGACCACUGUCUUAUAAGAUAAGAAAAAGGUAAAACAAACCUAAAAAAAAUGAGAAGAUAUAUGUCAGUCUCUAAGACUUUGAGAAUAUUCAAAUUAUAUAUAACCACAUAAUGUUUUAACCGAAAGUUAACAAUAUUAACUUCUUAACUAAUUAAUAACAUUAUAAAAACAUAGGGACCAAAUUAUGUUAAAAAUUAAAAUAAAUAAAUUAAAUAUCAAAUUUAAAGAUAUUAAAUGGAAUAAAAAUGAAAAUUAAGCAUUUAUAUCAUAGAGGUUUAUAGGUGUCUUGACUAAGUAAAAAAAAUUAAAUAUUUAGCAAGUCAAUUCAAUUUUGCUUGAUUUAUGUCUUUUCAAUUUGGCCAAAUUUCUCUAUUUCUCUGUUCCUUGUCAAAUUUAUGUUGAAGAUGCUCAUUUCCAAUUAUUAUUUUAGAAAAAAUAUUAUAAAAAAAAAAUGUUGUUGACAACUACUUUUUUUUCACUUUAGUUUUAUCUCUUUCUUGUUGUGACAUAACUUACCAGAUCUCUUCAUUUUCAAGUAUUUGUUUUGAGUUUUUUCAAGAACAAUAUCAUUAUUUUACUUAUUUAUUAUUUUCCUUUUAGGAGAAAUUUCCAACUUUGGAACCAAUUUUCUAUAAGAUUGACUACAAUAUUAUGCAGUAAAUAUAACAAGAAAUAUUUCUUCCAGUCUGCAACUUUCAAUUAUAUCAUAUUGAUAUCAUUUCAUAAUUUAAUAAUUCUAAAGAUUUGGCUGCAUUCAUUUCCACUUUAAUUUUAAUAUAAAACUUUAAUGCAAAUUUCAUUACCCCUUGAAUAUAUAAAAACUUAAAUUAAUUUUCUUAUGUAAAAAGCCAUUAUUUUUUAAAAUAUUUCUAAAUUAAUACACGCAUAUAAUUAAUAUUAGUAUUGGUUUUUUUUUUUAAUUAUCACAUAUGUUUCCCACAUAUUAUUUAAUUUUUUUUUAAUUUUUUAUUUUUUUAUUAGCAAUCGCGUUUUAGACUUUAAACAGGACUGAUUCUCCUAAUUGAACUCUGAUUAUUUCAGGGAUGUUUCAGUAUGAUUAGAACUCUAAUAUUAGCCUAUCUAAAAGGGUCAUUGUAUCCUUGCUUUGACAUGCCAAUCAGCUAGGCUUUUCUUUGAAGGCAACAAGAUGUAGUCGCAUACGAGUUUUUUGUGAGUGUUUCACGGUAACUAUAAAGAGAAUUUUGUUCCCAAGUUAGGUUUUGUUUUUUUUUUGAGUUUGGGUUUGUAUAUUUAGUACAUUUAGGUUUAUUUUCUCCAUAUUUUACUCUUGCUUGUUUAUCCAUUUAGUGAAAAAUCGAAGCCUCCUUUGCUCAUAGUUUUUCUUCUCUUCGAAGGAGUUUUUCACACAAAAUAUUUAUUUUUGAUCUUCUUUAUUUUUCUAUUUCAUCGUUUAUAUGAAUUAUUCCCAAAAAUUAUCAUACUUUUUAAAAUUUUGUCUCCACGUUAAUAUUAACUUAUCUAGUUAAAUAUUUCAUUUACUAUAUGAUAAACAAAUGAUUUCGGUGAAAAGGGAAAUGAUUUUUAGAAAAUAGUUUGAUUUUUUUAAAAAAUUGAUAUUUUUAGUAUUUGAAUGAUUAUGCUUAAAAUAUUUUCUAUUGUUUGACAAAUUUUAUUGAAAUUUAUUUUUUAAAAGUUGUUUUUAGUAAAAUGAAUGCAAUAUUAAUAUAUUUGCUACAAAAUAUUAUAGAUUGAUAGUUGUUUUUUUCUUUUGACAAUUGAAAUUUAUGUUAUAAUAAUUAAUAUAAUAUAUAAACCUAAUAAUGAACAGUGUCUAAUUAAAAUUAUAUAUAUAUUUAUAUUACAUAUAUGAGAGUGGCUAGUGACACAUUUGAGUUGAAAGAGAUAAAUGAAGCUAAGCAUAAUUUAAAUAAAUACUCAUAUUUAGAUUAUUAAAAUGUUCAUAUUUAUAUUACAUUUAUUAUUAAAACAUUCAUAUUUAAUUAAUUUCUAACAAAUUUUAUAAAUUAUUUUAAAUUAUUUUUAUGGUUUUUAGUAAUUUUUUAUAAAAUUUUAUGGGUUUUAAUUUAUUUCUAAUAUUAUAAUUUUUAAUCAAUUUUAAUGAUUUUUAUAAUUUUUUAUGUUUUUAUAAUUUUAAAAUGAAUUUAGACAAAUGAGAGUUCAGAUUUAAAUAAACUUGGAUAACCAUUUGUUGAAAUUUAUUAUGUACUUUUUUGAAAAAUAAUUUUAAAAUAAAUUUUAUAUUUUUUUAUAUUUUUGACGCGAUGCAUGUUAAUAGCCAUGCUAGUAUUGUCGUUAAAUACUGACUACAAACGAUAGUUAAAGAGCCUAUUCGGUUAAUUUUAUUAGUGUACAAUUCAAUUGAAUGUAAAAAAUUUAGAAGGAAUUAAAUAAAUUUUUUUAAAUUUCGAGGGUUUAUAAAAUCCAUUAAUGAAAAAAAAAUUGAGUGAAAUAAUAUAAAAUGUAAAAAUUUGUUGAUAAUGUUCUUUUUAAAGUAAAAUUUGACCAUAAUGUUGUGAAUUGUGAUGAUUUUUUUUUUCAACAUUUCAGAAUUUCUUUUCCUUUUCGCUGGAUUUCCAUUAAAAAAAAUGUGGUUUAUAUUUUUAGUAGAAUUUUUCUUAAAAAUGGUUAAUUAAAUUAAUAUAAAAAUAAAUGUGAUUCAAUGUAUUUAAAUUUAAUUUUUUUACGUAAAUAACAAUAUUUAUAUCAAUAAGUUAAAACAUAAUAUUUUAAAAUAAUAGAUACAGCCACUUUUAAUUUAAUAACACCUUAAUUAUUGUUGUAAAUUCGUCACGUUGAUUUCACAAUUUCAUAUGCUUAAUUUAAUCUCAUAUAAAAUUUUCAUUGUCAUAAAAUGCGUGCACAUACACGUCCAACUCCUUAAGAUAUUCUUUAUCACUCUCUGGAGGAAAUUUAGUCAACUUAAAAUAUUAUUAAACGAGCCCAGCAGUGAGGAAGCUGCCAUCCAACCUUGGAUUUGCAUCAACAAUUUUAAACAUUUUAACUAACAUCAACAAACUAUUAUCAACUUCAUAUUACGUACUCUAACUUGGACAUAAAAUAAAAAAUAUGUAUUAAAAAAAUCCAACAUGACAUGUUAUGUAAUGAGAAAAAGAAAUAAAAAAUAAAAACUAGAAACAUAUUGUUUGAAGUGUAAUCUUUUGACUGGAAAAUGCAAUUUUCGUAUACUUUCAAAGAAACAAACCUAAGGAGCACUUGCUGCCUUUCCUAUAAAUGGUUGACCCAAAGAUGAGAAAAUUCAGGGGAGAACUGAAAACACAUUAGAGAGGGGGGAAAAAUGGGUUUACAGAAAGGUUUAGUAACAUGCUUUGUAGGGGUUUUAUUUCUUAGCACUUUGCUCCUUUCCAGUGCAGAUGUACAUCACUAUGAAUUCUUCGUGAGUACCCUUUCUUUCAUGUCAUAGUUGUUUCGUAUGGAUAAUCUUAAACCUCAUAUUCAACCUACGUAAUUUACUGAUCUGAUCAUAAAUUACUUUUUCCUUCUCUGUUUUAAACCCAAAACUUUCAGGUCUGAUACAACAUCUUUGCUUUAACUAUUACAGAGUAAUGGUAGAAAUGUCUCCUUAAAACAUGGCUAAGUGCCUGAGAUUGAACACUAAUAAUGGCAGUGGCUUUUUUUCCUUUACAGUUUAAUAUUAGUGUUGAGAUUUGACUGCAGGUGCGAGAGUCAAACUUUACGAAGCUGUGCAACACAACGACAUUGCUGGUCGUAAACGACAGCUAUCCAGGGCCUGAGAUUCGGGUUCACAGAUGUGAUACUGUCUUCGUUAAUGUCCACAAUCAAGGAAACUACGGCUUCACCAUUCACUGGUAACUAUAACCUUUCUUUCAUUCUUCCAAUCGUAAUUUCCCAAAGAAUUGAAAUCAAAAGUGAUUAAAUCAAACUAAACAUGUUGCAGGCACGGUGUGAAACAACGGAGGAAUCCAUGGUCCGAUGGUCCCGAGUUCAUAACGCAGUGCCCCAUCCAACCAGGGACCAACUUCACCUAUGAAAUCGUACUAUCGGAUGAAAUAGGAACACUGUGGUGGCACGCACACAGUGACUGGACUCGUGGUUCCGUCCAUGGAGCAUUCAUCAUUUUACCGGCAGAGAAUGAAACUUACCCGUUCCCCACGCCAGACGCCGAUCAAACUAUCAUACUUGGUAAGCAUAUCUUUUGAUUCUUCGGUUGUGUUACUUGUGUAUAAUUAUAGCAUCUUAAUUUGAUUUUUUGAAUGGAUUUACAGAAUCAUGGUACGAUGGGGACUACAAGCAAAUUAUUGAUGACGCACUUGCCGCCGGUGUCUCUCCUCGCCAACCAAGUGCUUAUGCUAUCAGUGGACACGUCGGAGACACAUAUGGAUGCCCCAAUGGUAUGUUCUAGCAUUACCGAAACCGGAUUGAGUUUGUCGGCCUUUGGAUCCCUUAUACUAAGAGCCUAUAGUUGGUUGUUGCAGAUACAAUAUUCCGUAUGCAAGUUGAUUCUGAGAAGAUAUACCUUCUCCGAAUAAUUAACGCUGCAAUGAACGAACAUUUUUUCUUCACCAUCGCGAACCACACCCUCACAGUCGUCGCACAAGAUGCCUCCUAUGUUCGAAGGUUUACGAGGGACUAUAUAUUGAUAAGCCCUGGCCAAACCAUGGAUGUUUUGGUCUCUGCCAAUCGAAACGUUGGCCAAUAUUACAUGGCUAUUAGGCCUUUCUCUGAUUCCUCUGCUGCACCUGUUGACAACAUCACUACUGGCAUUUUUGAAUAUACAAACAGUGAGGGUGGAUUGAAUGCUUCCUUGAUAACGUUGCCCGUGAUGACCGCUACAGAUGCUAUGAUUAACUUCCUUAACCAAAUUCGGAACACGAAUGUCUCCC
rnacentral:lncRNA from 1 species